rnacentral:lncRNA from 1 species
AGAAAGAGGAUGAGGUGAAGGAGAAGAAACAGUAUAAAUUUUGGGCAAAUAGUGCAAUUUUCGUUCGAAGAGUGCAACUUUCGUUCAAAGACUGUAACUUUUAUUUAAAAAAGUAUAUUUUUUCUCUCAAAAAGUGUAAAUUUUCUCUAAAAGAGUGCAACGUUUCUUUGAAAUAGUACAACUGUCACGCCCCGGGACCCAGCGGAAGCCCGCCCGACGCGUGUCCAGACCCGCCAUAUGCCUACAAUAUAUAAGGCGUCUACAACAAAGCGAUAAAUUAAAACAAUAAUAAACCAGUAUCUAGAGAUAUCAGAGUAUGAUUACAUCUAAAUUUUAAUAACAAAAAGAAUAAUAAAAGAGCUAAACAACUAAUAUAACCAAAAGGGUAAAUACAACGAGUUCCAAACAUAAAAGCUAAAUGUACAAAAGUGGUGGUCUCUACAAGGUACAAAACUCUCAACCUCUCCAAAAGAACAAAAAGAGAGGUGAACCACCUAAAUACGGAGCUCCUCGCAACUAGCUAGGGGCAACACCCUUGCCUCGAUCCUGAGCCUCUCCCGGCGUGGAAGGCUCUGUAAAACAUCAAGAAACAGGGGGCG